rnacentral:rRNA from 1 species
CAGGUCUUGACAUCCUCUGACCAUCCUAGAGAUAGGACCUUCCCCUUCGGGGGACAGAGUGACAGGUGGUGCAUGGUUGUCGUCAGCUCGUGUCGUGAGAUGUUGGGUUAAGUCCCGCAACGAGCGCAACCCUUGUCCUUAGUUGCCAGCAUUCAGUUGGGCACUCUAAGGAGACUGCCGGUGACAAACCGGAGGAAGGUGGGGAUGACGUCAAAUCAUCAUGCCCCUUAUGACCUGGGCUACACACGUGCUACAAUGGAUGGUACAAAGGGUUGCGAAGCCGCGAGGUGAAGCCAAUCCCAUAAAACCAUUCUCAGUUCGGAUUGCAGGCUGCAACUCGCCUGCAUGAAGCCGGAAUCGCUAGUAAUCGUGGAUCAGCAUGCCACGGUGAAUACGUUCCC